CAUUGGCAUCUGGGAAGGUUGGUCCUGCCCCUCAAUGGACACUGCAGCAAGAGAGAUGGUGUCAACCAUCACUGGAGAGAGAUGUCCCCACCUGUCACCACUGGCAAAGGAAAUGACUUGAUGUCAUGGGCAUAGGGGAGAUGUCUCUAGCCUUCACCUGAGGACACAGACCUAGUGCUAUGAACUGACCAGCUCAGCUACUACCCAGGCCUACAUCCAUGCUUUGGGUUGGCCCACCCUGACAUCUACCCCAUCUAGGACCUGCUGGAACUGGUGAAAGGACUGAUAGUGUGGAAUGAUAAGUGCAGGAUCUCCAUGACUAGCAGCAGCUGGCAGAAGGAUAUGUGAGAGGAGUUUCCGUGAGGAUCCAGUAAUGAUGGUGUAUCAGAAACCAGAGACCUUGAGCCAGACCCACUGUAAUGGACAUUUAUGUAAUCUUGUUAUGAGAAGAAAUCAACAUAUGGUAAGGACCCAUGAUCUGACAACUUUUUUUGUUCUGUACUUGUUAAUAAAGUCCAUUGUAAGCAGCUAA